CCCUUAGAUGUCCGGGGCCGCACGCGCGCUACACUGAAUGAAUCAGCGAGUCUAUCCUGGGCCGAAAGGUCUGGGUAACCCGGUGAACCUCAUUCGUGAUUGGGAUAGGGACUUGCAAUUGUUUCCCUUGAACGAGGAAUUCCCAGUAAGCGCAAGUCAUCAACUUGUGUUGAUUACGUCCCUGCCCUUUGUACACACCGCCCGUCGCUACUACCGAUUGGGUGAGCCGAUGAAACUCUCGGAUGUAGGCUAUUCAUAGCCCGCAGAAGAGAUUUGAAUCGUAGCGCUUAGAGGAAGGAGAAGUCGUAACA
rnacentral:rRNA from 1 species